rnacentral:rRNA from 1 species
UACGGAAGGGGCGAGCGUUGUUCGGAAUCAUUGGGCGUAAAGGGUGCGUAGGCGGCGCGGUAAGUCGGGUGUGAAAUCUCGGGGCUUAACUCCGAAACUGCAUUCGAUACUGCCGUGCUUGAGGACUGGAGAGGAGACUGGAAUUUACGGUGUAGCGGUGAAAUGCGUAGAUAUCGUAAGGAAGACCAGUGGCGAAGGCGGGUCUCUGGACAGUUCCUGACGCUGAGGCACGAAGGCCAGGGGAGCAAACGGG